rnacentral:rRNA from 1 species
CUGAGAGGGUGACCGGCCACAUUGGGACUGAGACACGGCCCAAACUCCUACGGGAGGCAGCAGUGGGGAAUAUUGCACAAUGGGGGAAACCCUGAUGCAGCGACGCCGCGUGAAGGAAGAAGUAUUUCGGUAUGUAAACUUCUAUCAGCAGGGAAGAAAAUGACGGUACCUGACUAAGAAGCCCCGGCUAACUACGUGCCAGCAGC